rnacentral:rRNA from 1 species
CCUACGGGGGGCAGCAGUGGGGAAUAUUGCGCAAUGGGCGAAAGCCUGACGCAGCGACGCCGCGUGAGGGAUGAAGGUCUUCGGAUCGUAAACCUCUGUCAGCAGGGAAGAACGGUCACUGUGCUAAUCAGCAGUGAAUUGACGGUACCUGCAAAGGAAGCACCGGCUAACUCCGUGCCAGCAGCUGCGGUAAUACGGAGGGUGCGAGAGUUAAUCGGAAUUACUGGGCGUAAAGCGCUCGUAGGCGGUAUGGCAAGUCAAGGGUGAAAUCCCCGCGCUCAACGUGGGAACUGCCUUGGAAACUGGCAAACUGGAGUGUGUGAGAGGAUAGUGGAAUUCCAGGUGUAGGGGUGAAAUGCGUAGAUAUCUGGAGGAACAUCAGUGGCGAAGGCGGCUAUCUGGCACAAAACUGACGCUGAGGAGCGAAAGCGUGGGUAGCAAACAGGAUUAGAUACCCUAGUAGUC